UAUGUGCAGUGUGUUUUGACCUAAAUGUUAUGUAGUAAUUUAUUUCUUUUCAUAGCCACUGUAUAAGAUAGUUACUAUUUCCUCUGUUUCACAGACAAGAUUCAGUGAAGGUCAGAGAGAUCACACAAGUUGCCCGGAGUCACACAACUAGUAAACAUGGAAGUGAGCUAGCCAGGCUGGUAACAGCCACGUGGUCCUCCUACAAUAAAUUGUGGGCAUUUCACAGGAGGAUUUUCCCUAUGGAAAAAAAAGUAAAAGAUAAUAGGAAAAUCACUCCUUUGCGACUUUGGGAUGAAACAAACAACGGAGUUGUUCUCUGGUGGGAAGGUUAGCAGGCUGUCAUUGAUGCAACUCCACAGAGGGAAAGAAGGUAACAUUCCAAAGAAGAAAAAAACCUUGCUGCAGUGAAGUAAUUCAAUCUGUUUAUAUGUCUCUUUCUACAUACAUCUCACAUGAGUACAGCGCUAUGUUGGUUAUUAGGAUCUGAUUACAUGAAACCCACUUAUAUUAAUGAUGAGCACUGAGUAAUGCAAAGAUGAGCAGUUUUAUUUCGUUUUCACUUUGCUAGUUAGCAGUGACCUUGUAAGGUUCACCUUUUGUGCAUUGCCUUGUCCACAGCACUUUUGAUAACCAAAUAGAGCAAUGGAUGUUAAAUUACUUUGGGUGUGAUCAUGCAAAAUAAAUGUGAGACACUGAUGAAAUGAAAGUUAAAAUGUUCCAAAGAUGAAUUCAACUUGAGUUCUUCCUCUAAACGUGCACACACAAUGCUGGGAAUAUAAAAAAUCUACUCAUGGAUAUGUCAUUU
rnacentral:lncRNA from 1 species